UUUCUUUUUUUUUUUUUUUUUUAAAUAAGGUUCCGGCAGUGGCCUAUGCGCGCGCCCCAUGUAAGACCCGGUGUUAUAUGUAUAUGGCCCAUUCCCCCUAUUCCUCUCACCCUCCCUCUCUCUCCGACUCUCCCCCUCUCCCUCCGUCGAGGAAUUAUUGCGACUUCUCCUUCUUGAACGUUUUCUAGGUUUUUUGCUUCUAGACUGGUUUCGCGCAGGAGAAGAAGAGAUCGAGAGAGCCGGAAACUUGCGUCGAUCUGAUCGGAUGGAGUGCUGACGAACGAGGAAGCGGCUUCGGCUCGCCUGGGACGUCGUGCCUCCGGAACAACGAGAGAUCCACCCGUAUCUAGAUGCUAGGGUUAGGGUUUGGGACUGCGCGAAUAGAGGCUGCUGUCUGGGAUGAGGCAGUGCCGGGUCCGACGGAUGCAGCAUCGCCAUCGUGGAAGGAUGAGGAUCGGGAGGGGCACUAUAUCUCGGUCUUGGGGAGAACCUCACUUCGCGAUGUGUAUGGAGUAGUCAUCAGUUUCAAAUGAAUGCAUGGGAUGGUACAGAAGAAUUCACAAGAUGAGAUGUACUUCAGGUGCAUGCCAAAGUCAAGUGCCAUUAAGCUGGUUGAUUUUGGUAGUACUGUUUUUGAGAAUCGGGACCAGAGCUCCAUUGUUUUAACAAGGCAUAACAGGACACCUGAAAUCAUUUUGAGAUAAAUUAGAUUUUUAUGAUAGAAGUGUUGGUUUUACAAUGUCUUGUCUGGAUGCAGGACAUCCUAAGCGAAGUUAUUGGUUUUCAGUUGUGAUUUUAAAGAAACAACCUUUUCAUGUUUAUAAGGCUGCAAUGAUCAGAGACUUCCAGAGGCUAAGUUUCAAUAAUUCCAAUGCACACAACUGGAAAUUCCAAAUAUUUUAGUUAUUCUUUAGAAUUUUGAGCCACAUGCUCUGUGUGCACAUAAUCAGUUUCCAGUUAGGUCUGUGCAUAGCAAGAAAAAGAUAAAUAUUUUGCUGCAGGGGUCUCCUUGUUCCUUUAGACAAAUUUAGCAUUCUCAGGUUUCUUGUUUCUCCUUUUCAAUGCUCAAGUAAACAGUCUUACAUGGUAAUAAUUCAGUUUCUUUGAUCUUGACGGUUUGUUGCAAUGCCCUGUGGCUGUUGCUAAUUUAUGCUUUACAUUUUCCUCUCACAUGGUAGAACUGUAUUGCCUAACCUACUAUCAUCUUUAGUGAUUGAAUUGUUUAAGCAGAAUUUAUAUAUGCAUGCACCUGAGUUUCUUCAUGCAUCUCUGUCAAUGUAGUAGGUAUUGUUAAGAAGGUUUAUGCUAUAUGUAGCUUCGCAGGUAAUAGUAGUGUUACCUACACACUUGGCAUGGUAUGGGUGCUGACUGUCUAGUUCCAUGCCAAAGUAUUCAUGUGUGCCAUGGUGCCAGGCACUUAAAAUGCUAACACAAGAAACCUAACAUGGAGUUCCUUCAUGCAAUAGAAAUAAUUAUAAAUGUAAAUUUAUUUAUCCUUCUCAUUUACUAGAUUGUUACACUGCCAUAUGUCUUAAAAAAGCUUACAUCUAUUGCGUAUUACACUGAAAAAAUCAAUAGAAAGGUAUGAAAAUUCUGUUCAGUUGUGUAGGCACUUAAGAUAAUAAUGUCCAUCACUUGAAUUGAUUGAGAAUAGAAGUGUUCUUACUUGUGCAAUUUGCAUAUUUUAAGAAGGCAAUUAUAAUCUGUUCAAUUAUUCUGAUGUUUCAGAUUAAUAAAACUAGUUAUUUUAAUGAUUCUAAGGGGUGCUAUUCCAUGUUCUGUUGGGUCUUAGCAAGUGCUACUAUGCAAACCCUAAAACUGAAGCAUCCGAGGGACAUUGUAUAAGUGAUCUUGUUGGAACUUCUAUGAGACUGAUAGGUUGUGAGUUAUAUGUUUUCCUAUAUAAUACAUUUCCUUAGGUGGCAUAUGUAUGAUAUUAGCAAUUUAUAUUGUUGAAUUCAUGUUGAUGUGUGAACAUUGUUUCAAUUAUAAGAAUUUCAAGUGCCAAAGUGCUUGUCCUCAUAGUCCUGUCGCUGAACCAUACUUGUAUCAGGUUUGGGUUGGAAUUAUCCUUGUGACAUUUGGAGUGUUGGUUGCAUCCCUGUUGAGCUUUGUUCAGUCAGUCUGCCAACUUGUCACAGAUUUAAUACUACAGAGGAUAAAUGCAUUACCUCAUGUCCCAAUGGAUAUAUCAUGCAUCUUUUAAGUUUUAAACAUGUUUCAGGGUAAAGCAUUGUGUGAGACAUGCAAAUUUGGACCAUUUAGCCAUGAUGGAGAAGAUUGGGGACCAUUGCCAGAGCAUAUGAUGCGACAAGCUAGAUUACUCGGUCUUAUAUGCAAUGCAGCUGUUGAAAAUUAUUUGGGUUCUGAUGAGCUGUCCUUUUCACUGCCGUCUCUGGAGGACUUGUUUUCCCAACAUGGAAGUACUCAAGGGCUUCAUUAAUCGAUUUAGUGUAUGAUCUUAUGAAGUUUGAACCGUUUGACCGACUUGCAGUGCAGGAAGCACUCAACCAUUCAUUCUUCAGAAAACCCAACGUGAGAUGCAGUUGAAGGUGCAAAUAGCAAACUUGGGAUAUAAUUUAUUUAUUAGAGUUUUGAUGCCCAUGGAGGAAAGACAACUGGAAACCUGGAUGGAGUUUCCAGCUGCCUAAUUAUAAGCUCUCUGAUGAUUUUGUUCCUGGAUCUAAAUAUGAGAUAGGUGAUGGUUUAAAUUAAUGUCUAUCAGAUAUUAAUGUAUCUAUCAGGUAUUUAGUAAUUGUGUAUUUCAUAUUUUAUAUUUUGGUACUCUGUUUUGUAUUUAGAUUCAGGGCAAAAUUUCUGCAAACCCUUAAACGUGUAACAUUUUACAAAAAAAUAAAGCCCGAACUAUUCUUUCAAAGUUAGAAAUGAAGUAAACUUUCUUGUUGUUCUA